rnacentral:rRNA from 1 species
AGAACGAACGCUGGCGGCAUGCCUAAUACAUGCAAGUCGAACGAACACUUCGGUGUUAGUGGCGCACGGGUGCGUAACGCGUGGGAAUCUGCCCUUGGGUUCGGAAUAACAGUUGGAAACGACUGCUAAUACCGGAUGAUGACGAAAGUCCAAAGAUUUAUCGCCCAGGGAUGAGCCCGCGUAGGAUUAGCUAGUUGGUGAGGUAAAGGCUCACCAAGGCAACGAUCCUUAGCUGGUCUGAGAGGAUGAUCAGCCACACUGGGACUGAGACACGGCCCAGACUCCUACGGGAGGCGGCAGUAGGGAAUAUGGACAGUGGCGAAAGCCUGAUCCAGCAAUGCCGCGUGAGUGAUGAAGGCCUUAGGUUGUAAAGCUCUUUUACCCGAGAUGAUAAUGACAGUAUCGGGAGAAUAAGCCCCGGCUAACUCCGUGCCAGCAGCCGC